GAUGAACGCUGGCGGCGUGCCUAAUACAUGCAAGUCGAGCGAACGGACGAGAAGCUUGCUUCUCUGAUGUUAGCGGCGGACGGGAGAGUAACACGUGGAUAACCUACCUAUAAGACUGGGAUAACUUCGGGAAACCGUAGCUAACACCGGAUAAUAUUUUGAACCGCAUGGUUCAAAAGUGAAAGACGGUCUUGCUGUCACUUAUAGAUGGAUCCGCGCUGCAUUAGCUAGUUGGUAAGGUAACGGCUUACCAAGGCAACGAUGCAUAGCCGACCUGAGAGGGUGAUCGGCCACACUGGAACGGAGACACGGUCCAGACGCCUACGGGAGGCAGCAGUAGGGAAUCUUCCGCAAUGGGCGAAAGCCUGACGGAGCAACGCCGCGUGAGUGAUGAAGGUCUUCGGAUCGUAAAACUCUGUUAUUAGGGAAGAACAGAUGUGUAAGUAACUGUGCACAUCUUGACGGUACCUAAUCAGAAAGCCACGGCUAACUACGUG
rnacentral:rRNA from 1 species